GCCAGCUUACGAUCUCUCGGUGAGCCAUGAGCACUGCGAAGUUGGUGAGGUGGCUGCAGGCACAUGUGGUAUGGGUCUUAUUGGACUCCACCAAUCGGCAGCCCUGGGUUGACCAGUAGCCCAGCAUGGAGCGCUCUGAGUAGUUCCAGAAGGAGCAGUUUGCAUUGAAGUGGUUCUUGGCCUGUUAUAUAGUGAUGGACAGAGUGUCGAAAUUGCAAGUUCUGUUCUUCCCCUCAUACCAGCUACAGGGAACAGUGACAAGCUUGAAGGAAAUGUUUGGGGACCCUGAGGUGACCACCAGCUUUAUGGUCCAAGCUGAAGCUCGCUCUCAGAUGCUGCGAUGACCUGUGAGUUGACCACCAGGGAGGCACCUCCAGGGCCACCUGUCCCUGCCUCACCUGCCAGCUUCACUGUGGCAUUCUCCGUGGACAAGAAGAGGCCCAGGUUGUUGUAGAGAAUGAAGACAACUUUCACCACACCUAAGGAAGAUGGGCCCAGGGAGAUACAGUGGCCAUCCUUAGCCACAGCCCUCUAUCCUGGCUCCAUGGCUCUCAGAUACACUGAAACUGGGCUGUCACAUGCCAAGCAGCUCAGGAGCCACUUCCACAAGGCCAUUAUCUCUCGGUGGGCAGUUUAAAUGACAGCACAGUGGCUGGUUCUCUGACCCACUUUUACGGUCUUUUUUUUUAAUUUGUAAAGAUUUAUUUAUUUACCGUCUCACCAGCCCCACUUUUACUUUUUGUACGCCCUUGGGCAGAUCCCUAGCCUCUCUAUGCCUCCAUCUCAAAGGGAGCCAGAACCCAGACUUCUGCAGAGCGUUGGAACAUCCACACUAGUGGCAGAUACACCCCCAUUAAACACAUGACUACUGUGUGUCCCAUACCGAGAUCAAGAUGCAAAGUGGCCCACAUGCACGCAGAGGAAAGCCCGUGGGACACUGACCGUUGCGGCUGUUCUG
rnacentral:lncRNA from 1 species